CCUACGGGCGGCAGCAGUGGGGAAUAUUGGACAAUGGGGGGGAACCCUGAUCCAGCCAUGCCGCGUGUGUGAAGAAGGCCCUCGGGUUGUAAAGCACUUUCAGUGAGGAAGAACGCCUGGUGGUUAAUACCCAUCAGGAAAGACAUCACUCACAGAAGAAGCACCGGCUAACUCCGUGCCAGCAGCCGCGGUAAUACGGAGGGUGCGAGCGUUAAUCGGAAUUACUGGGCGUAAAGCGCGCGUAGGUGGCUUGAUAAGCCGGUGGUGAAAGCCCCGGGCUCAACCUGGGAACGGCAUCCGGAACUGUCAAGCUAGAGUGCAGGAGAGGAAGGUAGAAUUCCCGGUGUAGCGGUGAAAUGCGUAGAGAUCGGGAGGAAUACCAGUGGCGAAGGCGGCCUUCUGGACUGACACUGACACUGAGGUGCGAAAGCGUGGGUAGCAAACAGGAUUAGAUACCCGAGUAGUC
rnacentral:rRNA from 1 species